rnacentral:rRNA from 1 species
GACGAACGCUGGCGGCGUGCCUAAUACAUGCAAGUAGAACGCUGAAGGAGGAGCUUGCUUCUCUGGAUGAGUUGCGAACGGGUGAGUAACGCGUAGGUAACCUGCCUGGUAGCGGGGGAUAACUAUUGGAAACGAUAGCUAAUACCGCAUGAGAGUAGAUGUUGCAUGACAUUUGCUUAAAAGGUGCAAUUGCAUCACUACCAGAUGGACCUGCGUUGUAUUAGCUAGUUGGUGGGGUAACGGCUCACCAAGGCGACGAUACAUAGCCGACCUGAGAGGGUGAUCGGCCACACUGGGACUGAGACACGGCCCAGACUCCUACGGGAGGCAGCAGUAGGGAAUCUUCGGCAAUGGACGGAAGUCUGACCGAGCAACCCGCGUGAGUGAAGAAGGUUUUCGGAUCGUAAAGCUCUGUUGUAAGAGAAGAACGAGUGUGAGAGUGGAAAGUUCACACUGUGACG